UUGUGCGCUCCGGAGUUUGGUCACUAGAGAGGCAGCCGUGCUUGCUGCUCGGAUAGCCGCUUGUUAUCCGCAGGCGUACUCGGGGAUCGACCAGCUAGGCAUCCCUAGGAGAUUGAUAUGUGAGCCUCGCUUGUGAACCUUGUGUUCGCUUGGAGAUUGGGUUACCCAUUGAGUCUUACCCAUGAUUGAUAUUCAUAGUAGCUAUUCAUUGUUCAUAUCGGCUUAUUUGCUUACCUAGUAGCAUGUUUAUAGCUUACUAUGAUAGCUGUUGUAGAUGUUGAUAGUUGCUUAUUUACCCAGCUUUAUUUAUUGUUCAUGCAUUCAUGAUUCCAGAUUGAGGCAUAGCUUGAUAUAGUCGUUUACAUACCGCUUUCAGUUUAGUUCAGUUUUAU
rnacentral:lncRNA from 1 species